UCCUCCUCCAAGAAAUGGCCUCUGCCAUUCAAACCAGAAGACAGAAUCACAAAAUCCUGACUGAAAAAAAAUGGGGUUAGAAAAAGUGUGGAAACUCUGAAACGUUCCUUCCAAACCCCGAGUCAGUACCAUUAAAAACACCAACACUUUGGGACAGAGGCCUGACUAGAAGGAGGUGGCUGGCAGGAGACACCUUGAACUAACAGCUCAAGGAAGGACACUCUAAUCUGCAAGUCCAGAUGUCAGAGAAGAUCGAGACUUCUGAGUCAGGAGGGCUGCUGUGCUCUGUGAGUACCGCUGUGGCCGAGAAGCCUGUGAGCUGGGAAGAGGAACAGGAGGUCUUAGAAGAGACCAGGCAGCUGUGACUUCCUGCCCCAGACCCGCCUCCCACUCACGUUGGGCAAGUCACCUAACUGCAGCAACCCCUGGGGCUACCUCGAAAACAUAGCUACACCAGCCUCAAGGGCCAUGUGAGGAUUAAACAACAUACAUAGAACCC